rnacentral:rRNA from 1 species
UCAGCAUACCGCGUUAUACAAUAAAUAUUAAUUAAUAUUAUUGGUUAUUGAAGUUAUUUUUAUAUUUGAAAUUAAUUUAUUUAUUUUUAGGUAAAAUUUAAAUAUUUAUUAUUUUUGUUUCAUUUAUUCUUUGAAAUAUAAAAUAUAAACUAGGAUUAGAUACCCUAUUAUUUUAUAUGUUAAUUUUGCUAAGGUAGUAAUAGAUAUGUUCUUUAAACCUAAAGAAUUUGGCGGUGUUUUAGUCUUUUCAGAGGAACCUGUCACGUAAUUGAUAAUCCACGAUUAAUCUUUCUUAAAUUUGUUUUUCAGUAUGUAUACCGCCGUUAUAAGUUUAUUUUAUUAGAUUAAUUUACUUUAUUUUUUAUUUUAAUUUAUUUCAGGUCAAGGUGGCAGA